rnacentral:rRNA from 1 species
UACCCGCAGCACAAGUGGUGGUCAUUAUUAUUGGGCCUAAAGCGUCCGUAGCUGGCCUGUUAGAUGCCUGGGCAAAUCGAUGCGCUCAACGUAUCGAACUCCGGGUAGACCGGCAGGCUCGAGACCGGGAGAGGUGUAGGCUACUCGCGGGGUAGGGGUAAAAUCCUGUAAUCCUGCGGGGAGGACCAGUGGCGAAGGCGCUACACUAGAACGGCUCUGACAGUGAGGGACGAAGCCCUGGGGCGCAAACCGG